AUGGAUAAACCACCUUCCUUCGUUCUUCUCCCUUUUUUGGAUAAUAUAAUACAUUUUUUUGCAAAUACAUAAGUAUUCAUCCAAUGUAAAGUUGGGUUUAUCCUUUGAUUACAUUGCGUCGAGCUUGUAGGGGUUUUGGUGGGGAUUAUUGAUGUAGAAGGUGUGAUUUUGAUUUGAAAUGGGUGGUUAUAUGCAUGUGGAGUUAUUUCUAGUAUAAAUAAGUGGUUGAACAAUUAGAACCUUCUAUAAAUCAGUCUUGUAAUGGAUUUAUUAUUCAAAAUUCAAAAAAUAGCUGAUAGAAUGUGGUACAAAAGGAAAUUCUAGUAUUUACGGCUAGCAAAAUGAUAAGAUGACCAAGUUGUAAGAAAGUAUAAGCUUGUAGGUUUUGGGAUAUGUCAGAUUCACGGCUAGUAAUCCAAGACGUAAAACAGAGUUAUUGCUUUAUGUCAGAUUUACGGUUUAGAGUCCUAAUCGUGACACAGAGACACGGCCUGGAUAUCUAGUCAUAACAAAGAUUCAAAUAUUUUUUUAGUUUAUCAGAGAAACCAACGACUAGGUCAUUUCCAACCGUAACACAAAGACUAUUAUGUUACCUAACCGUGGCAAGCAUUACAACCAGAAAUUUCUAACAGGGACCAUAUCCAUUUUUUUUUGUCAAACUCACAGACAAUUACGGUUAGAAUCUAUCUUACAAAAACAAAUGAUCUUUGUCCAAUCCGACGGUUCAGAAUUUACCUUUUUAAGGAUCUACGGUUUGGAUUGCUUUAAAAGUGGAAAAGAUAAAUCUCGGGUCAGAAUGCACCCACCUUUUACUCCCUAAUCCACCGUCUGUGAGGAAGUCGAGCACAAAUUCCAACAAGUGAAAGCUUAAUUUCAGGAAACAUUUAUUCAUAUAUUGUCCGUUACGAACUAAAAUCCCCGUUUGAAGACAUUUAUCACCCGAUUAUGCCUCAGUGAUAUCAAUCUCUAUGGUUUCUGAAACGCUCAAUCACAUGCUCAGGGCUUUUGCAUUCGUGCUUGCAGCAGGCGAUCAAGUUAUUUCAGGGCUUUUGCAUUCGUGCUUGCAGCAGGCGAUCAAGUUAUUUCAGGUUAUUUUCUGCUGGACAGGGUGAUAGCUACAACUGCUAGCCAGCGAAGUAAUUGCUUUCUUAUAAAGUUACUCAUUCGAUUUAGAAGAAUAAGAACAAGGUGAGAAAUAAAGGUUUUCGAGUGUUAAGUGGAAGGAAAAAUUACGCGGUAUGAUUUGCUCGGUAUGAUCUGCUGGAGUGAGUACAGAAACUUGGAAGAGUCAAUACAUAUUUUUUGUUGCUUUGGCAGUUUGGAUGAUCAUAGGGUAUUUGUUUUGAUAAAUGGGUUGCAAUUAUGGGUAUACCUAGGUAAACAAAGUUGUGUAUCUGUUCUAAAAUAGUUUGGGACAAAUACUUAGACCUGUUAAGUUGUUUGAUGAUUUGAUAAUAUCUGUUUGCUUAAUCUGUGAGAAUUGUGGAAUCGUUGAGGGAAUUUUGUAAAGAAUCAGUAGUUUGAUAAAUGUGUCUAAUUUUUGAUAUUUUUUUUGGAGAAAUUGGAGGCACUUUGUAUUGUAUCACUUAUGGAGGCUAUUUUGGAGACAAAAAUAAGUGAACGACGUCUUUUAUCUUUAGGGGUGUAUUGACACAGUUUGAUAGUUGUUCCUUUUUUUGUUUAUUUGGCAUAUAACUUCAUAACAACAUCAACAAUUUUCCAUUCAGCACCGACGAAUAACGACAUUAUGCAAACUGUUGCUGCUGCAGUCCAAAUUUGGCUACAAAGAUGCAUCUAGGACUGUUAUCAAGUUGUCCACAGUGAGUUUGGUAUCUUUGGAUUCCACUGGGGAUAAUAUACACACCACUACGCAGGGAACUUUCUGAAGUUCACACUUCUGACUAAAAUGGUUUAGUCUUUAUGCACUUGAUCUACUUACUGCGUCAGUAGUACUUUUGAUUAGCUGCAUAAAUACUGAGCAAAUUUUGCUUAGAAAAAUUACAACUUUUUUACGAUAACCACUUUCUACUCUCCAACUCGCAUAGAGCUUUUUUGUUUUUUUUUUUGUUUUGAGCAGACAGCCGGGGAACUCGCGUAGAGUUACGGUAAGCAUAUAUCCUUCAUUUCACUGUGUUGUUUGCUAUAUGUUGUGGUUAGAUGUUUUUAUGAGCAGAUUCUGGGUGCAUAUUCCGAGAAAAGCGUCCACUACAGCUUGCACCAAUAUGAUCCGGACCAUAUAGUAUCAGAUGGGUGAUCUUUAACAACCAAGUCUGGUGGUGACAGUGGAGAGAAACAUCUACAAUUCACAUGUCAUUAACAUUGUUUCACUUUUUAAGCACCAGUCUAUGGCACAAUAGUAGCCGUCUUAACACAAGUACAAAAUCUGCAUGUUUCAUUCAUGGUAGAUUCACUCGCCGGCCUGUAAUUUUUCGGUUAUAUGACUAAUUCUGAAACUUCAUUGAUAGCCCAUGUAGCUAAUGCACACUCGCUAUGCGCCAUUAGGUUUGUGUCUAUUGAUUGUUUUCAUUGUAUAUA